rnacentral:lncRNA from 7 species
AUAAUGUCCGGAUCUGAUUACGUACGAACCCGAUCCGUUUCCCUAUUCUAGGCUCGUCCACUUCUCAACGGGCAAGACAGCUCUACUCCGUGCGUGCUGCGUCCCGUCCUGUGAUUAACCAAAAUAUUAUCAACAUAUACGAAGACAUAUAUUAUAAGUACUUUAAUAUUUAAUUAAAUUAAAAAUAACUACUUAUAUAUAUAUAUAUCAUAUAGUUAUUUACUCAUGAAAAAUAACUAUAUGUAAAUUGAUUCAUAUCUCAAGUAUAUUUGUACUCCGAUGAAGUUUGUAUGACAAAAAAAUAUAUCUAUACCUACCAUACUUACCAUUAGAUCCAUCAUUAAACAAACUUUAAAUUAUGCCCCAGAGCGUUCGGCCUCUCGCCUUGAAGUCUUAACAUAAAAGUUCAAAACUGCUAAACUGUCAGAAGUAUUAUGUCAUAAUGGUACGAAACCAACUUUUAUUCAUGCUGCUUUCUAAGGAUAUUGUGCCUACAUAUCUAUAUAUAGGUUACAUAUAGAUAUCAUGGAUUGUUUUUGGGUACUAGGUAGCAACUCACAAAGAUCUUAAAUAUGAACUAGGUACGUGCCCGUGCGUUGCCACGAGAGUAAAAAAUUAGUAAUAUAAAACAUAGAUAUGAAAUGACAAUCAUCACUAUGUUAUGCAAAAUCCACGGGGUAAAAUAUAGCCGCAAUACUAAAUAUUACAAUGACGACGCUGAUGGAGGCGGCAAGCAUGAUCCUGUUGGACAUAUCGACCUUGCAGAACACCAACGAAUUUUAGAGCACGAUGGCGUCGAGUCGAAGGCUUGCUGGAAAAAGUGCACGUCGAUCACACAGACGAGGAUCCCACGCUCGUCGACGACCAGAAGAGUAGCUCCUUUAUUUUUGUUCUCUGAACCUCAACAACUUUGAUGAAUUUGUCACCACUCAAGGGAUCGACUAUCCAAUUCCAGUUAGCAAAUGCAGAUGAUGUCUAGCUGCCCUGCACUGAACCAUCAUGGUUGAGACAGAGAUAACUCAAGGCUAGAUCUGCAUUGUGCAUCUAAAUGCAUAGGUAAAACAACAUAUCUUCUUCCAUCAGAAAGUGUGACACACGCAUGUUGCCAGGAGGACAGUCACACGGUUCCCUACUGAUACAUGUGUAAUCAAACUACAUGGGUAUUUCAAACCUAAUAACAUGUAUUGUAUUC